rnacentral:rRNA from 1 species
UACGGAGGAUGCAAGCGUUAUCCGGAAUGAUUGGGCGUAAAGCGUCCGCAGGUGGCAAUGUAAGUCUGCUGUCAAAGCGUCUGGCUCAACCAGAUAAAGGCAGUGGAAACUACAUAGCUAGAGUAAGGUAGGGGUAGAGGGAAUUCCUGGUGUAGCGGUGAAAUGCGUAGAGAUCAGGAAGAACACCGGUGGCGAAGGCGGCGUCCUGGACCAACACUGACACUGAGGAGCGAAAGCCAGGGGAGCAAACGGG